rnacentral:rRNA from 1 species
AAAAACCUCCUCGCCGKAAGACCAAGGGUUCCUGUCCAACGUUAAUCGGGGCAGGGUAAGUCGACCCCUAAGGCGAGGCCGAAAGGCGUAGUCGAUGGGAAACGGGUUAAUAUUCCCGUACUUCUUACAAUUGCGAUGGGGGGACGGAGAAGGCUAGGUGGGCCUGGCGACGGUUGUCCAGGUUCAAGUGCGUAGGCUUAAGAGUUAGGUAAAUCCGGCUCUUUUUAAGGCUGAGACACGACGUCGAGCMMCUACGGKKGUGAAGUCAUUGAUGCCAUGCUUCCAGGAAAAGCCUCUAAGCUUCAGAUUGUAAGGAAUCGUACCCCAAACCGACACAGGUGGUCGGGUAGAGAAUACCAAGGCGCUUGAGAGAACUCGGGUGAAGGAACUAGGCAAAAUGGUACCGUAACUUCGGGAGAAGGUACGCUCUUGAUGGUGAAGUCCCUUGCGGAUGGAGCUGACGAGAGUCGCAGAUACCAGGUGGCUGCAACUGUUUAUUA